GCUCUCUGAGCGAAGUGCCAUCGGCGCGGCAAUGAACGGAUGCUAGCCAUGAGCGUUAGCUCGUCGUCCGCUUCGGCGGCGAGUUGAAAGUGUUUAUUUCACGGUCAAAUGCAAAUGAAAAUUUCGAGACGGCCUUAAAAGGGACAGAUUAAGGUUACGUAACCUCGAACUGAUCAAAGACGCGGCACUUUCGUAAAUGAGCACUGAUUCCGAAAAAGAAGGUUUUGGGUGCGCGUUUCUCCGAUAAAAGAUGAAUGGAUAAAUAUCUCCAGACGAGUGACGAAGAGUGCUGAAUUUUAAAGCGUCACGUUUUCACCAAAAAGGUAAAAUUUGAAGUCAAAUAGGCAGAAAGAAGACCAAAUCUUCCACUUUUUGCUUUUUAAAAAGGAAAUUCUAAAAA